GAUGGUUUAUGAGCCCUUCUCAGCUGCCUCUCACGUGAAUGUCCCAUGGACCUGAGAUGAUUAGACAACAGUCUUAUCUCAAGUCCCCACUCAAAGUCCAAAGUCCGAUCAAGAAAAAGGGGUGUGCUUCAGUGGUCCCAGGCAGCAGCCACUUUUGUUGCUAAUUUGAUGGGGACCUUGAGCAGAACAGAGCCAAACCUUGCACCCACUGUGCUUCAAGCUAGAAGAUCCAGAACACAUCUGAACACCAAGAGAC